rnacentral:rRNA from 1 species
UACAGAGGUCCCAAGCGUUGUUCGGAUUCAUUGGGCGUAAAGGGUGCGUAGGCGGCGCGGUAAGUCGGGUGUGAAAUCUCGGGGCUUAACUCCGAAACUGCAUUCGAUACUGCCGUGCUUGAGGACUGGAGAGGAGACUGGAAUUUACGGUGUAGCGGUGAAAUGCGUAGAUAUCGUGGAGAACACCCGUGGCGAAGGCGGGCUUCUGGUUGACCUCUGACGCUGAGGUGCGAAAGCUAGGGGAGCGAACGGG